UGGAGCAGAUAUAGCUUAUGCUCUAUGGGCAUAAUUAUCUUAAUUAAGCAAUGUACUAUAAAAUGAUUAUCUAAUUCAUCGGUUCUCAGCCAUGGCUACACAUUAAAAUCAUCUGGAAUGGUGUUUUUGGGGGUUUUUCGUUAUUGUUUGUUUAAAAAAAAACAACAACACCCAAGCCUGAGUCCAAGUACUGGGGAUUUUGAUUAAUUUAUUCUUAGUGGAGCCUGAUAUAGUUUGUCUCUGUGUCUCCACCCAGAUCUCAUGUUGAAUUGUAAUUCCCAGUGUUAAGGGAGGAACCUGGUUGGAGGUGAUGGGAUCCUGAGGAUGGAUUUUCCUCUUGCUGUUCUCAUGAUAAUGAGAGCGUUCUCAGGAAAUCUAAUGGUUUAAAAGUGGGUGGCACUUCCCCUUUUGCUCACUCUCUCUUCUUCCUGCUCCACCAUGUGAAGAUUGUGCCUGCUUCUCCUUCACCUUCUGCAAUGAUGCAUGAACUCCUCUGGAGAAAGCAAGUUCUCAUUUGUGCCGUUAUCUAUCUUCCAUUGGUUACAAGAUAAUGAGAAUCGAAAAUCAUAAUCUAAUUUCUCACAGUGGAGAACACAACCUUGAAUAAAAUAGACAUCCAUUAUUUGGAAGUGCAUUGCCAUGAAGGUACUGAGCCAAGUCCAUGUCCCUUAUUUGCACAGGCUUCUUUCAAAGUUCAGGAAGAAGCUAGGUGCAGUGGCUCACGCCUGUAAUCCCUGAACUAUGGGAGGCCGAGGAGGGGAGAUCACCUGAGAUCAGGAGUUCAAGACCAGCCGGGCGUGGUGGCCUGCGCCUGUAAUUCCAGAUACUCAAGAGGCUGAGGCAGGAGAAUCGCUUGAACCUGGGAGAUGGAGGGAACAGUGAGCCAAGAUCAUGCCACUGCACUUCAGCCUGGGCCACAGAGUGAGACUCUGUCUCAAAAAAAAAAAAAAAAAGAAAAGAAAAGAAAAGAAAAUUCCAGAAAGUGACUGGGACAGUGUGUUACAGCCAAAGGUUUUUUGAUAAAAUGUGUAAGGGUAUGGUAUUUUAACCGCUCUUGCCAACCUCUUCUGCCUCCUCUCAUCUGACCACUCCCACGUGCUGACAUGUUUCCCCUCUUGCUUGCUGCUGUUGCCAUGCCCAUACGCCUUACUGAAAUCCAAUAAAGAAGAGGGUGACUGGGGACACACUUAGUUUGGAUUUAGUGGAAUAUAUUCACAUGAUUUGCAGUCACUUUGAGUAUUAUGAAUUUACUGCUAGCCGUCCCAGUGUGUCCAGGGCUUCCAAAAACAUGCCCAUACUUCUUGCUCCAACUCACUUUGCGGAGUGACACGCAGGUCCUGGCACAGAGGAAGCACUGUGAAAUAAAACACACCCAGCAGCCCCUCUCACCAAACGUGUGGGAACAGCAAGGGGCAGCAAGACUUGGAAUCAACAGGGCCAGAAGGUAGCCUGAAGAAGACUCUUCCCAUCCUCAGCAAUGUAAAAAUGUAUGGCCCAUUUGUUUCCCAACAAAACCUCAUGACACAGAAGGUCACUCCUCUUAGAAAUCUAUUUUGAAAUAGGUGUAUAAAGUAUGUUUCCGACAUUAAAAUAAAUAAUUUUUAUGGCGAUCUUGCAAAACAGGAUCAAUUGGAAUUCUGGGAAGGAACUGCACAACCUGCAAUGCACAUGAAAACAGUUGUUCACAAAACAGUUCAUGAAAAACCCGUUUCGAUUUUCUCUUAAAUGGGCAAUUCUAAAAUUACCCUUUAAGAGGGGUGAGGGUGAAAGAAAAAUGUUCCCAACUAGCGAUAAUAAAAAAUGAAUCCUGAUCAUAGGGAAAGGUUAUAAAGGAAGAUUGAGCCAAAAUAUCAGGGGAAAACAAAGGUCAAGCAGCAGUUAAUAAAAAUAUUGUGAUGCUUUUCCAGAUUCAGUGGUUGUUUUUGUCUGUUAGCUUUUCACAAAUUGCAAUUUGUAUUCAUUUUCUCAUAUUGAAUAAAUACUCCUUCCCGUU